GGUUAAGCGACUAAGCGUACACGGUGGAUGCCCUGGCAGUCAGAGGCGAUGAAGGACGUGCUAAUCUGCGAUAAGCGUCGGUAAGGUGAUAUGAACCGUUAUAACCGGCGAUUUCCGAAUGGGGAAACCCAGUGUGUUUCGACACACUAUCAUUAACUGAAUCCAUAGGUUAAUGAGGCGAACCGGGGGAACUGAAACAUCUAAGUACCCCGAGGAAAAGAAAUCAACCGAGAUUCCCCCAGUAGCGGCGAGCGAACGGGGAGCAGCCCAGAGCCUGAAUCAGUGUGUGUGUUAGUGGAAGCGUCUGGAAAGGCGCGCGAUACAGGGUGACAGCCCCGUACACAAAAAUGCACAUACUGUGAGCUCGAUGAGUAGGGCGGGACACGUGGUAUCCUGUCUGAAUAUGGGGGGACCAUCCUCCAAGGCUAAAUACUCCUGACUGACCGAUAGUGAACCAGUACCGUGAGGGAAAGGCGAAAAGAACCCCGGCGAGGGGAGUGAAAAAGAACCUGAAACCGUGUACGUACAAGCAGUGGGAGCCUCUUAAUGGGGUGACUGCGUACCUUUUGUAUAAUGGGUCAGCGACUUAUAUUCUGUAGCAAGGUUAACCGAAUAGGGGAGCCGAAGGGAAACCGAGUCUUAACUGGGCGUUAAGUUGCAGGGUAUAGACCCGAAACCCGGUGAUCUAGCCAUGGGCAGGUUGAAGGUUGGGUAACACUAACUGGAGGACCGAACCGACUAAUGUUGAAAAAUUAGCGGAUGACUUGUGGCUGGGGGUGAAAGGCCAAUCAAACCGGGAGAUAGCUGGUUCUCCCCGAAAGCUAUUUAGGUAGCGCCUCGUGAAUUCAUCUCCGGGGGUAGAGCACUGUUUCGGCAAGGGGGUCAUCCCGACUUACCAACCCGAUGCAAACUGCGAAUACCGGAGAAUGUUAUCACGGGAGACACACGGCGGGUGCUAACGUCCGUCGUGAAGAGGGAAACAACCCAGACCGCCAGCUAAGGUCCCAAAGUCAUGGUUAAGUGGGAAACGAUGUGGGAAGGCCCAGACAGCCAGGAUGUUGGCUUAGAAGCAGCCAUCAUUUAAAGAAAGCGUAAUAGCUCACUGGUCGAGUCGGCCUGCGCGGAAGAUGUAACGGGGCUAAACCAUGCACCGAAGCUGCGGCAGCGACACUAUGUGUUGUUGGGUAGGGGAGCGUUCUGUAAGCCUGCGAAGGUGUACUGUGAGGUAUGCUGGAGGUAUCAGAAGUGCGAAUGCUGACAUAAGUAACGAUAAAGCGGGUGAAAAGCCCGCUCGCCGGAAGACCAAGGGUUCCUGUCCAACGUUAAUCGGGGCAGGGUGAGUCGACCCCUAAGGCGAGGCCGAAAGGCGUAGUCGAUGGGAAACAGGUUAAUAUUCCUGUACUUGGUGUUACUGCGAAGGGGGGACGGAGAAGGCUAUGUUGGCCGGGCGACGGUUGUCCCGGUUUAAGCGUGUAGGCUGGUUUUCCAGGCAAAUCCGGAAAAUCAAGGCUGAGGCGUGAUGACGAGGCACUACGGUGCUGAAGCAACAAAUGCCCUGCUUCCAGGAAAAGCCUCUAAGCAUCAGGUAACAUCAAAUCGUACCCCAAACCGACACAGGUGGUCAGGUAGAGAAUACCAAGGCGCUUGAGAGAACUCGGGUGAAGGAACUAGGCAAAAUGGUGCCGUAACUUCGGGAGAAGGCACGCUGAUAUGUAGGUGAAGUCCCUUGCGGAUGGAGCUGAAAUCAGUCGAAGAUACCAGCUGGCUGCAACUGUUUAUUAAAAACACAGCACUGUGCAAACACGAAAGUGGACGUAUACGGUGUGACGCCUGCCCGGUGCCGGAAGGUUAAUUGAUGGGGUUAGCGGUAACGCGAAGCUCUUGAUCGAAGCCCCGGUAAACGGCGGCCGUAACUAUAACGGUCCUAAGGUAGCGAAAUUCCUUGUCGGGUAAGUUCCGACCUGCACGAAUGGCGUAAUGAUGGCCAGGCUGUCUCCACCCGAGACUCAGUGAAAUUGAACUCGCUGUGAAGAUGCAGUGUACCCGCGGCAAGACGGAAAGACCCCGUGAACCUUUACUAUAGCUUGACACUGAACAUUGAGCCUUGAUGUGUAGGAUAGGUGGGAGGCUUUGAAGUGUGGACGCCAGUCUGCAUGGAGCCGGCCUUGAAAUACCACCCUUUAAUGUUUGAUGUUCUAACGUUGGCCCCUGAUCGGGGUUGCGGACAGUGUCUGGUGGGUAGUUUGACUGGGGCGGUCUCCUCCUAAAGAGUAACGGAGGAGCACGAAGGUUGGCUAAUCCUGGUCGGACAUCAGGAGGUUAGUGCAAUGGCAUAAGCCAGCUUGACUGCGAGCGUGACGGCGCGAGCAGGUGCGAAAGCAGGUCAUAGUGAUCCGGUGGUUCUGAAUGGAAGGGCCAUCGCUCAACGGAUAAAAGGUACUCCGGGGAUAACAGGCUGAUACCGCCCAAGAGUUCAUAUCGACGGCGGUGUUUGGCACCUCGAUGUCGGCUCAUCACAUCCUGGGGCUGAAGUAGGUCCCAAGGGUAUGGCUGUUCGCCAUUUAAAGUGGUACGCGAGCUGGGUUUAGAACGUCGUGAGACAGUUCGGUCCCUAUCUGCCGUGGGCGCUGGAGAACUGAGGGGGGCUGCUCCUAGUACGAGAGGACCGGAGUGGACGCAUCACUGGUGUUCGGGUUGUCAUGCCAAUGGCACUGCCCGGUAGCUAAAUGCGGAAGAGAUAAGUGCUGAAAGCAUCUAAGCACGAAACUUGCCCCGAGAUGAGUUCUCCCUGACUCCUUGAGAGUCCUGAAGGAACGUUGAAGACGACGACGUUGAUAGGCCGGGUGUGUAAGCGCAGCGAUGCGUUGAGCUAACCGGUACUAAUGAACCGUGAGGCUUAACCUU
rnacentral:rRNA from 1 species